GACGAACGCUGGCGGCGUGCUUAACACAUGCAAGUCGAACGGUGAAGCGCCUUCCUUUUUGGUGGGUGUGGAUGAGUGGCGAACGGGUGAGUAACACGUGAGUAACCUGCCCCCUUCUUCUGGAUAACCGCAUGAAAGUGUGGCUAAUACGGGAUAUUCUGGGUCUGUCGCAUGAUGGGUCUGGGAAAGAUAUUGUUUCGGUGGGGGAUGGGCUCGCGGCCUAUCAGCUUGUUGGUGGGGUGAUGGCCUACCAAGGCGGUGACGGGUAGCCGGCCUGAGAGGGUGCACGGUCACACUGGGACUGAGACACGGCCCAGACUCCUACGGGAGGCAGCAGUGGGGAAUAUUGCACAAUGGGCGCAAGCCUGAUGCAGCGACGCCGCGUGAGGGAUGGAGGCCUUCGGGUUGUGAACCUCUUUCGCCAGUGAAGCAGGCCUGCCUCGUUUGUGGGUGGGUUGACGGUAGCUGGAUAAGAAGCGCCGGCUAACUACGUG
rnacentral:rRNA from 1 species